GUGCUCGUUUCAGCAGCAAAUAUACUAAAAUUGGAACGAUACAGAGAAGAUUAGCAUAGCCUCUGCGUAAGGGUGACACGCAAAUUUGUGAAGCGUUCCAUAUUUUA